rnacentral:rRNA from 1 species
AACGAACGCUGGCGGCAUGCCUAACACAUGCAAGUCGAACGAGACCUUCGGGUCUAGUGGCGCACGGGUGCGUAACGCGUGGGAAUCUACCCUUGGGUUCGGAAUAACUCAGAGAAAUUUGAGCUAAUACCGGAUGAUGUCGCAAGACCAAAGAUUUAUCGCCCAAGGAUGAGCCCGCGUAGGAUUAGCUUGUUGGUGAGGUAAAAGCUCACCAAGGCGACGAUCCUUAGCUGGUCUGAGAGGAUGAUCAGCCACACUGGGACUGAGACACGGCCCAGACUCCUACGGGAGGCAGCAGUGGGGAAUAUUGGACAAUGGGCGAAAGCCUGAUCCAGCAAUGCCGCGUGAGUGAUGAAGGCCUUAGGGUUGUAAAGCUCUUUUACCCGGGAUGAUAAUGACAGUACCGGGAGAAUAAGACCCCGGCUAACCUCCGUGCCAGCAGCCGCGGUAA